rnacentral:rRNA from 1 species
GACGAACGCUGGCGGCGUGCUUAACACAUGCAAGUCGAACGGAAAGGCCCUGCUUUUGUGGGGUGCUCGAGUGGCGAACGGGUGAGUAACACGUGAGUAACCUGCCCUUGACUUUGGGAUAACUUCAGGAAACUGGGGCUAAUACCGGAUAGGAGCUCCUGCUGCAUGGUGGGGGUUGGAAAGUUUCGGCGGUUGGGGAUGGACUCGCGGCUUAUCAGCUUGUUGGUGGGGUAGUGGCUUACCAAGGCUUUGACGGGUAGCCGGCCUGAGAGGGUGACCGGCCACAUUGGGACUGAGAUACGGCCCAGACGCCUACGGGAGGCAGCAGUGGGGAAUAUUGCACAAUGGGCGGAAGCCGGAUGCAGCAACGCCGCGUGCGGGAUGACGGCCUUCGGGUGGGAAACCGCUUUCGCCUGUGACGAAGCGUGAGUGACGGUAAUGGGGAAAGAAGCACCGGCUAACUACGU